UACGUAGGGGGCUAGCGUUGUCCGGAUUUAUUGGGCGUAAAGAGCUCGUAGGCGGCUCAGUAAGUCGGGUGUGAAACCUCCAGGCUCAACCUGGAGACGCCACCUGAUACUGCUGUGGCUAGAGUCCGGUAGGGGAGCGUGGAAUUCCUGGUGUAGCGGUGAAAUGCGCAGAUAUCAGGAGGAACACCAGCGGCGAAGGCGGCGCUCUGGGCCGGAACUGACGCUGAGGAGCGAAAGCGUGGGUAGCAAACAGG
rnacentral:rRNA from 1 species